GCAGUCGAACGAACUCUGGUAUUGAUUGGUGCUUGCAUCAUGAUUUACAUUUGAGUGAGUGGCGAACUGGUGAGUAACACGUGGGAAACCUGCCCAGAAGCGGGGGAUAACACCUGGAAACAGAUGCUAAUACCGCAUAACAACUUGGACCGCAUGGUCCGAGUUUGAAAGAUGGCUUCGGCUAUCACUUUUGGAUGGUCCCGCGGCGUAUUAGCUAGAUGGUGAGGUAACGGCUCACCAUGGCAAUGAUACGUAGCCGACCUGAGAGGGUAAUCGGCCACAUUGGGACUGAGACACGGCCCAAACUCCUACGGGAGGCAGCAGUAGGGAAUCUUCCACAAUGGACGAAAGUCUGAUGGAGCAACGCCGCGUGAGUGAAGAAGGGUUUCGGCUCGUAAAACUCUGUUGUUAAAGAAGAACAUAUCUGAGAGUAACUGUUCAGGUAUUGACGGUAUUUAACCAGAAAGCCACGGCUAACUACGUGCCAGCAGCCGCGGUAAUACGUAGGUGGCAAGCGUUGUCCGGAUUUAUUGGGCGUAAAGCGAGCGCAGGCGGUUUUUUAAGUCUGAUGUGAAAGCCUUCGGCUCAACCGAAGAAGUGCAUCGGAAACUGGGAAACUUGAGUGCAGAAGAGGACAGUGGAACUCCAUGUGUAGCGGUGAAAUGCGUAGAUAUAUGGAAGAACACCAGUGGCGAAGGCGGCUGUCUGGUCUGUAACUGACGCUGAGGCUCGAAAGUAUGGGUAGCAAACAGGAUUAGAUACCCUGGUAGUCCAUACCGUAAACGAUGAAUGCUAAGUGUUGGAGGGUUUCCGCCCUUCAGUGCUGCAGCUAACGCAUUAAGCAUUCCGCCUGGGGAGUACGGCCGCAAGGCUGAAACUCAAAGGAAUUGACGGGGGCCCGCACAAGCGGUGGAGCAUGUGGUUUAAUUCGAAGCUACGCGAAGAACCUUACCAGGUCUUGACAUACUAUGCAAAUCUAAGAGAUUAGACGUUCCCUUCGGGGACAUGGAUACAGGUGGUGCAUGGUUGUCGUCAGCUCGUGUCGUGAGAUGUUGGGUUAAGUCCCGCAACGAGCGCAACCCUUAUUAUCAGUUGCCAGCAUUAAGUUGGGCACUCUGGUGAGACUGCCGGUGACAAACCGGAGGAAGGUGGGGAUGACGUCAAAUCAUCAUGCCCCUUAUGACCUGGGCUACACACGUGCUACAAUGGAUGGUACAACGAGUUGCGAACUCGCGAGAGUAAGCUAAUCUCUUAAAGCCAUUCUCAGUUCGGAUUGUAGGCUGCAACUCGCCUACAUGAAGUCGGAAUCGCUAGUAAUCGCGGAUCAGCAUGCCGCGGUGAAUACGUUCCCGGGCCUUGUACACACCGCCCGUCACACCAUGAGAGUUUGUAACACCCAAAGUCGGUGGGGUAACCUUU
rnacentral:rRNA from 2 species